GUAUAAACAAUCAGGAAAACCAAUAAAAAAUCUAUUAAAUCAAAUAAAACCCAGAAAAAAAAAACACUCAUAAAGAACCGGCAACCAAGCACAAAUAGAUAGCAAAGCAAACAAACAAACAACCCAGUUUCAAACUUCAACAACUGAACUACUAAACAAUCUGAAUAACAUAUUUCAUACCUUUGGGGAGAUACAAGUUGCG
rnacentral:misc_RNA from 1 species